UACCAGCUCUCCGAGUGGUAGGGAUGAUUAUUGGGCUUAAAGCGUCCGUAGCCGGCUUAGCAAGUUUCCUGUUAAAUUCAGCGACCUAAUCGUUGAGCCGCGGGAAAUACUACUAGGCUAGGAGGCGGGAGAGGUCGACGGUACUUCUGGGGUAGGGGUGAAAUCCUAUAAUCCCGGGAGGACCACCAGUGGCGAAGGCUGUCGACUAGAACGCGCUCGACGGUGAGGGACGAAAGCUGGGGGAGCGAACCGGAUUAGAUACCCGGGUAGUCCCAGCUGUAAACGAUGCGGGCUAGGUGUUGGGGUGGCUACGUGCCACUUCAGUGCCGCAGGGAAGCCAUUAUGCCCGCCGCCUGGGGAGUACGGCCGCAAGGCUGAAACUUAAAGGAAUUGGGCGGGGAGCACCACAAGGCGUGAAGCUUGCGGUC
rnacentral:rRNA from 1 species